CGGUGUUUAACUGGCGUGAUGUGGGACGUCCUACCGGUGGGCUUAGCCUCGCGAGGGGCGGCCCAACUAAUAUCCCGUCGCGGUGCUCUUUACUGAGUGUCGAGUCGGGCCGGUACGGUUACUUUGAACAAAUUAGAGUGCUUAAAGCAGGCUAUCCUCGCCUGAAUACUGCGUGCAUGGAAUAAUGGAAUAGGACCUCGGUUCUAUUUUGUUGGUUUUCGGAACCCCGAGGUAAUGAUUAAUAGGGACAGAUGGGGGCAUUCGUAUUGCGACGUUAGAGGUGAAAUUCUUGGAUCGUCGCAAGACGGACAGAAGCGAAAGCAUUUGCCAAAAAUGUUUUCAUUAAUCAAGAACGAAAGUUAGAGGUUCGAAGGCGAUCAGAUACCGCCCUAGUUCUAACCAUAAACGAUGCCAGCUAGCGAUCCGCCGAAGUUCCUCCGAUGACUCGGCGGGCAGCUUCCGGGAAACCAAAGCUUUUGGGUUCCGGGGGAAGUAUGGUUGCAAAGCUGAAACUUAAAGGAAUUGACGGAAGGGCACCACCAGGAGUGGAGCCUGCGGCUUAAUUUGACUCAACACGGGAAACCUCACCAGGCCCAGACACCGGAAGGAUUGACAGAUUGAUAGCUCUUUCUUGAUUCGGUGGGUGGUGGUGCAUGGCCGUUCUUAGUUGGUGGAGCGAUUUGUCUGGUUAAUUCCGAUAACGAACGAGACUCUAGCCUGCUAAAUAGGCGUACCUUAUGGUAUCGCGAAGGCCCCCGGCUUCGGCCGGUGGGUUUUUACUACCAACGUACAAACAAAUCUUCUUAGAGGGACAGGCGG
rnacentral:rRNA from 1 species